GCGCUCGUAGCUCAGUAGGAUAGAGCGGCCGCCUCCUAAGUGGCAGGUCGGGGAUUCGAGUUCCUUCGAGCGCG
rnacentral:tRNA from 1 species